UAAUGCCUAGGAAUCUGCCUGGUAGUGGGGGAUAACGUCCGGAAACGGACGCUAAUACCGCAUACGUCCUACGGGAGAAAGCAGGGGACCUUCGGGCCUUGCGCUAUCAGAUGAGCCUAGGUCGGAUUAGCUAGUUGGUGGGGUAAUGGCUCACCAAGGCGACGAUCCGUGACUGGUCUGAGAGGAUGAUCAGUCACACUGGAACUGAGACACGGUCCAGACUCCUACGGGAGGCAGCAGUGGGGAAUAUUGGACAAUGGGCGAAAGCCUGAUCCAGCCAUGCCGCGUGUGUGAAGAAGGUCUUCGGAUUGUAAAGCACUUUAAGUUGGGAGGAAGGGCAGUAAAUUAAUACUUUGCUGUUUUGACGUUACCGACAGAAUAAGCACCGGCUAACUCUGUGCCAGCAGCCGCGGUAAUACAGAGGGUGCAAGCGUUAAUCGGAAUUACUGGGCGUAAAGCGCGCGUAGGUGGUUCGUUAAGUUGGAUGUGAAAUCCCCGGGCUCAACCUGGGAACUGCAUUCAAAACUGACGAGCUAGAGUAUGGUAGAGGGUGGUGGAAUUUCCUGUGUAGCGGUGAAAUGCGUAGAUAUAGGAAGGAACACCAGUGGCGAA
rnacentral:rRNA from 1 species